rnacentral:rRNA from 1 species
AGCAGCCGCGGUAAUUCCAGCUCCAAUAGCGUAUAUUAAAGUUGUUGCAGUUAAAAAGCUCGUAGUUGAACUUCGGGGUUCGCCCAUUGGUCAGGCUUAAUUGUCUGCACUGGUGAGAUGAGUCUCUACCUUCUGAGGAACUUUCAUGCCAUUUUAUUUGGUGUGGUUGGAAAUCAGGACUGUUACUUUGAAAAAAAUUGAGUGUUUAAAGCAGGCUAACGUCUGAAUACAUUAGCAUGGAAUAAUGAAAUAGGACGGACUGAUUCUAUUUCGUUGGUUUCUAGGAUCACCGUAAUGGUUAAUAGGGAUAGUUGGGGGCAUUAGAUUCAAUUGUCAGAGGUGAAAUUCUUGGAUUUAUUGAAGACUAACUACUGCGAAAGCAUUUGCCAAGGAUGUUUUCAUUAAUCAAGAACGAAAGUAGGGGAUCGAAGACGAUCAGAUACGCCCUAGUUCUAACCGUAAACGAUGCCAACCUAGCGAUCUGUAGGGCAUAAAUUUAUAGUACCCUACAGGG